UACGUAGGUGGCAAGCGUUGUCCGGAUUUACUGGGCGUAAAGGGCGUGCAGGCGGUUUGUUAAGUGCAGGGUGAAAGCUCCCGGCUCAACUGGGAGAGGUCCUUGCAUACUGGCAAACUCGAGGGAGGCAGAGGAAAGUGGAAUUCCCGGUGUAGCGGUGAAAUGCGCAGAUAUCGGGAGGAACACCUAUGGCGAAGGCAGCUCGCUGGGACGUUACUGACGCUGAGACGCGAAAGCGUGGGGAGCAAACAGG
rnacentral:rRNA from 1 species